CCCCCCGACUUGAGAGGUACGUCUCGCUGCUCGUGGUAAGGAUUUCUGAGAGAAGGGGUGCGGGGGGAACCCCAGCCCCCAGAAAGCUGCAGUUAACACCAUUUGCCUCAAUGGGUUAAAAAUAACCUGCCCAGGCUGCUGGAAAGCUGAGAGGGAACCUCAGCCAGCGCGGCUAGCGUUUCCCUUAAGGGAGGGACAAAGAUCGUGUUGGUCUUAAAUCCCAGGAAUUAAAUAGCCCCCUUCCCGCUCCCGCUGACUGCAAUUGACAAGACACACACCCGGCAGCUUUAGGACACAGGUCCGCUGUGAACACGAAAAGCGGAAGCCGAGCGGAGAAGGAACCGGAGUCACCCCGGAUUAGCGAGAAAAGCUCCUUUGGAUGGUUCGCCCGCCGCGGCUCCUCCGGCGGAAGACGGGGACCGGGGCUGCUGCUGCUGGGUGCGGAUAACUCCUGGCUCUGCCUCCACGCUUCACUUUAGGGUCUUCUGCUCCCAGGUCCCUUCGUCUCCCGUGUGAUCGCGGUCGGCUUCUCGGCUCCAGCGCGGCUGGUUCGUUUGGGUUUUUUUCCUCCUCUCCAGUGCUGGGAUCGAGAUUCUCCACCCCCACCCCCUUCCCCGGACCCGGAGAUCCCUCUUCUCUGCAGCCGCUGGAGAUCGGUUUUCCUUUUUGCAGGGGACACAAACAAGGAUCAUGCAAAAAUAAAUAAAUAAAUAAAAUUCA